rnacentral:rRNA from 1 species
UACGUAGGGUGCAGGCGUUUAAUCGGAAUUACUGGGCGUAAAGCGUGCGCAGGCGGUUUUGUAAGUCUGUCGUGAAAGCCCCGGGCUCAACCUGGGAAUUGCGAUGGAGACUGCAAGGCUUGAAUCUGGCAGAGGGGGGUAGAAUUCCACGUGUAGCAGUGAAAUGCGUAGAGAUGUGGAGGAACACCGAUGGCGAAGGCAGCCCCCUGGGUCAAGAUUGACGCUCAUGCACGAAAGCGU